UCUGUCAUACCACCCUGAAUGCAUCCAAUCUUGUCUAAUCUUGAAAACUAAGCAAGGCCAGGCCUGGUUAUUACUUGGAUGGGAAAAAUAACAACAAGAUAAACUACAGAA
rnacentral:rRNA from 1 species